rnacentral:rRNA from 1 species
CCUACGGGAGGCAGCAGUGGGGAAUAUUGGGCAAUGGGCGCAAGCCUGACCCAGCAACGCCGCGUGAAGGAAGAAGGCUUUCGGGUUGUAAACUUCUUUUAAGAGGGAAGAGCAGAAGACGGUACCUCUUGAAUAAGCCACGGCUAACUACGUGCCAGCAGCCGCGGUAAUACGUAGGUGGCAAGCGUUGUCCGGAUUUACUGGGUGUAAAGGGCGUGUAGCCGGGCUGACAAGUCAGAUGUGAAAUUCCGGGGCUCAACCCCGGACCUGCAUUUGAAACUGUUGGUCUUGAGUAUCGGAGAGGCAGGCGGAAUUCCUAGUGUAGCGGUGAAAUGCAUAGAUAUCACGCAGAACUCCGAUUGCGAAGGCAGCAUACCGGCGCCCGACUGACGCUGAGGCACGAAAGCGUGGGUAUCGAACAGGAUUAGAUACCCUAGUAGUC